rnacentral:rRNA from 1 species
GUACUAGUCAAAGAACUAUAAAAACUGAAGAUAGAAACCAACCUGGCUCACGCCGGUCUGAACUCAGAUCAUGUAAGGUUUUAAUGGUCGAACAGAUCAACCAACGAAAGCUGCUACACCCUCAGGACACCUUAAUCCGACAUCGAGGUCGCAAACCCUUCUUUCAAUGUGAACUCUCCAGAAAGAUUACGCUGUUAUCCCUGUGGUAACUUUUUCCGAUAAUCAACAAUGCUGGAUCACCAGUCAGUCCACCAAAUUAAGUUAAACAAACAACAGAGAAGCUAUCCAUGUUCCCUAGUCACCCCAACUAAAGAUGUAAAAGUAAAUCUAAACUUUCUAUUAAUAAUAGAAAUGCCACUCUCUACCCAACACUAAAGCUCAACAGGGUCUUCUCGUCCCUCAGCUCAAUCUAGGCCUUUUCACCUAGAAGUUAAUUUUUAAAUAUUCCAAAAGAGACAGCUCAACCCUCGUCGAACCAUUCAUACCAGCCUCUAAUUAAAGGGCAAGUGAUUAUGCUACCUUUGCACGGUCAGUGUACCGCGGCCGUUUAACCCGUAGGUCACCGGGCAGGUCCGACUCCUCAUUUAAUUAAUAACCGAAGAGCCAUGUUUUUGCUAAACAGGCGAGGCCGACAUUUGCCGAGUUCCUUUUCUGGAAUUUAAUUUUUUACACUAAACACACUAAAUCAAGUCGUAGCUUACUUACUUUAAUAAACAAAAGCAACUAAAUAAAAAUAAAUACUCAUUUUCUCAUUAUUACACAAAUAAACUUAGUUACAUUAGUAAAGUCGGUAC